rnacentral:sRNA from 1 species
GCUGGGCACGGUGGUGCAUGCCUGUAAUCUCAGUGGCUGGGGAGGCUGAGGCAGGAGGAUCACGAGUUCAAAGCCAGUCUGAGCAAAAGCAAGGCACUAAGCAACUCGGUGAGACCCUGUCUCUC